rnacentral:misc_RNA from 1 species
GUGGCAGCGGUGGCGGGUUUCGCCAUCUCUGUGUUCGCAAAUCAUCCUCCAAAAUCGACUUCCGCUUCUUAAAUUAAUCCCACCCCAUUCCCUAUCGGGCCACUCCUUCAUUAAUCAACAGCUCCGCCACCGCUUUGCCCUCUCUCUCUCUCUCCGAGAUGGCGAAACCCGCCACCGCUGCCACUUCCUCUCUCUUCCAAACCCUAAAACGCUUCAUCAAGAAGCCCUGGGAGAUAACGGGGCCAUGCGC